GUCCACGCCGUAAACGAUGAAUACUAGCUGUUAGAAAUCUUAGGAUUUUAGUAGCGCAGCAAACGCAAUAAGUAUUCCGCCUGAGUAGUACGGCCGCAAGGUUAAAACUCAAAGGAAUUGACGGGGCCCGCACAAGCGGUGGAGCAUGUGGUUUAAUUCAAUGCAACGCGAAGAACCUUACCUACCCUUGACAUUUUUAGAAUCCCGCAGAGAUGUAGGAGUGCCGAAAGGAGCUAAUAAACAGGUGCUGCAUGGCUGUCGU
rnacentral:rRNA from 1 species